UACUUGGUGCACCUUGCCCUUUGUCUGCCUGAUUUGAAUCACUUUGGGGCAGUUUCAUGGACACAGAUAAAGCCUAUUAUGUUUUGCAUCUGAUAAAAGUAGCUAGCUGUAUAGUUCACUAUAUAACUCAUCUGUAUCUAACCCAUGCUGCCAAUCAUCAUUUCCUUCUGCCAGGAGAAUGGUAGUACAAAAGUCUCAUUCAAUUCUAUGAUAAUAUUCACACCACACUUUAGGCUGCCCCCAUUAGGACUAUACGGCUUAGUUAGGUAAUACUACUGCAGCCUGCUGAAGGCUGAUUUGUAUGUGGUGUUUAUAGCCUACAUACGCCACUCAAUCAGGUUCAUGCUACUCCCUUAGGGCUAGGAGUGCACUGACAUGGUCAAUCACAUGUACCUUCCUUUCUCUUGUUUUACCUCCCUCCAGAGCAUGUUGGCUCUAGCAUUUUAUUGUGCCCACCCGCCCGCAAGCUUUAACUUCUCUGGGAUAUGUGGGACGCUAGCCUCGCCAACAGCCAGUGAAAUUGCAGGGCGCCAAAUUCAAAACAACAGAAAUCCCAUAAUUAAAAUUCCUCAAACAUACAAGUAUUUUACAUCAUUUUAAAGAUAAACUUCUUGUAAAUCCAGCCACAGUGUCCGAUUUCAAAUAGGCUUUACGGCGAAAGCACACCAAACGAUUACGUUAGGUCAGCACCUAGUCACAGAGAACCAUAAAGCCAUUUUCCAGCCAAGGAGAGCCCUCACAAAAGUCAGAACUAGCGAUUUAAAUUAAUCACUAACCUUUGAUGAUCUUCAUCAGGUGGCACUCACAGUACUUCAUGUUACACAAUAAAUGUCUGUUUUGUUCGAUAAAGUUCAUCUUUAUGUCCAAAAACCUCUUUUGAAAUUGGUGUUUUAUGAUCAGAAAUGCAUUUUCUCAAACAAACAUCUGGUGAAAGUGAAGAGAGCCACAUCAAAUGACAGAAAUACUCAUAAUAAACAUUGAUAAAAGAUACAAGUCUUAUGUAUGGAAAUAUAGAUAAACUUCUCCUUAAUGCAACCGCUGUGUCAGAUUUCAAAAAGGCUUUACGGCGAAAGCACACCUUGCGAUUAUGUUAGGUCAGCACCUAGCCACAGAAAAACAUACAGCCAUUUUCCAAAGAAGGAGAGGUGUCACAAAAGUCAGAAAUAUAAUUGUAAAUAUUCACUUACCUAAGAUGAUCUUCAUCAGAAUGCACUCCCAUGAAUCCCAGUUCCACAAUAAAUGUUUGUUUUGUUCGAUAAAGUCCAUAAUUUAUGUCCAAAUACCUAAUUUUUGUUCGCACGUUUAGUUCACAAAUCCAAACUCACGAGGCGCGGGCAAGUCCAGGCGAAAGUUCCGUCAAAAAGUCCAAAAUGUUAUAUUGCAGUUCGUAGAAACAUGUCAAACGAUGUAUAUAAUCAAUCUUUAGGAUAUUUUUAUCAUAUAUCUUCAAUAAUGUUUCAACCGGGACAAUUCCUUUGUCAUUAGAAAUGCAAUGGAACGCAGCUAACUCUCAUGGGCGAGCACGAGACUGAGCUCAUGGCACUCUGCCAGACACCUGGUUGAAACAGCUCUCAUUCAGCCCCCCUCAAACAAGGUUCUAAAGACUGUUGACAUCUAGUGGAAGCCUUAGGAAGUGCAAUAUGACCCCAUAGACACUGUAUAUUCGAUAGGCAAUGACUUGAAAAACUACAAACCUCAGAUUUCCCACUUCCUUCUCAGGUUUUUGCCUGCCAUAUGAGUUCUGUUAUACUCACAGACAUGAUUCAAACAGUUUUAGAAACUUCAGAGUGUUUUCUAUCCAAAUCUACUAAUCCAGUCGUUUCAUUCUAAACCAGGAUUUCUAUAGAACGCCGUUUGAGUCUUUGUGUGUCAAAAAUAUAUACAAUUUAACAUGUCAAAUAAGCUUGUUGACAGAUCAGGACCUGAAUAUGACUGCUCGUCACAUAAUAAUUUAACGCAUUUACAUAUUUUUUACGUAGUUAUUACACAUUGAUUACACUCAAUCGUAUUUCAUAUGUCACAACGAUUCAUUGAUACGUAUGCUAAGAUGCUGGUAAAGUCUCGUGCACCUACAGUGCUCGUCAUUUUAAAAAAGCUAGCUAGAUCAUGGAUGCAAACAAUGUUCUUCCCCAAAAACAUAGCAAAACGACAUCUGUUUCAGUAGCUGUAGUUAGCAAGCUAACUAAAUAGCUAGGUGUCAUUGUCUAAAAUAACCAGUUCUUUGAUUAAUGGUGGUCGGACCCAUGUAUGUGAAGCUAGCCACAAUAAGGUUUAGCCACAAUCGUAGACUUUGGUUAGCCUUCAAAAUAAAAUUAUGGCAUAAUUCUACUAUUUGUAUUCAAUUGCAUCACUGUCAAUUACUUUAUUUUGAAGGCAAACGCAAAUUCCACUAUUGUGCUUAAUCCUUAUUGUGGCUAGCUUCAUAACCCGGUCCGGUCGAGCACUUGCCAGAUGAAGCUAGCUGGCUGCUUAUAACGUUAGCUUUGGCCAACAGGGUUAAGUAACUGGCUAGCUAUUUAUUUUCAUGAACUGAAGUUCAAUUUCAAUAGGCGAACAACAAGUGGCAACAUAGCUAAUACUUUAAUACUUUUCCUAAAUUAUUGCUAAGAACAAUGAAAAUGACUGCAGUUUUUUACUGGUUAUUGUUUUCAGGCUACCCCAGAAGUUGCGGUUGAACAAAUGAUGCUUUAUUACCAAUGCGUUAUUGUAAGCACAUCGUUCGUGGUCUAUUUUUGCUUGUUUGCUGACUUUUUUUGUACAGCUUUGACAGUGCUACUGUAUAUUUUUUGACAUGCAAAGACCCAAACGGCAUUCCAUAGUAUGUAUGUCGUGAAGCUAAUAGCAGUGACGGUAUUACUGUGUAACUCCGGUAGGGCAACAUCGGAAAAAUAGCGCACUUGAUAGUGUUACCCGGUGUUCGACCAGUCGGCGAAUGCCAACAUCACCCACAACAGAGAACGGUUGAUUGUCAAGGGCAAUGAAUUACAUUAUCUUGGCUUUAAUGGAUUUCGCCUUUGAGUUGUCUCGCUGAAAUUUUGUUACUCUUUCAAAUGACUACUUGACUUGUUGACUGUUAGACCCGCACAGCAGACAUUGUGGGCUAGUUUAGGAAUGCUGCGUUGCACGUAUAGAGUAACAUUUUACGUGGCGUCAUUAUGUCAUGUAUCUUCGUUAUAUAGGUAUGCACGUCAGCUUUGACAUCGGUUUUGCACAUCGGUCGUUAAACUAGACAUCGGCCGAUACCGGCAUUUUUAGCUAAUAUUGGCCGAUUCCGAUAUGUUCACCGAUAUAUCUGCCUCGCCUGGUUCACUAACUACUUCUCAGAGUUCAGUGUGUCAACUCGGAGGGCUUGUUGUCCGGACCUCUGGCAGUCUAUGGGGGUGCCACAGUGUUCAAUUCUUUUUUCUGUGUGUGUGUAUAUAUAUAUAUAUAUCAAUGAUGUCGCUUUUGCUGCGGGUGAUUCUUUGAUUCACCUUUACGCAGACGACACCAUUCUGUAUACAUCUGGCCCUUCUUUGGACACUGUUAACAAAUUUCCAAACGAGCUUCAAUGCCAUAUAACUCUCCUUCCGUGGCCUCCAACUGCUCUUAAAUGCUAAUAAAACGAAAUGCAUGCUCUUCAAACGAUUGCUGCCCGCUUCCACCCGCCCGACUAGUAUCACUACUCUGGACGGUCCUGACUUAGAAUAUUUGGACAACUAUAAAUACCUAGGUGUCUGGCUAGACUGUAAACUCUCCUUCCAGAUUCACAGUAAGCAUCUCCAAUCCAAAAUUCAAUCUAGAAUCGGCUUCCUAUUUCUCAACAAAGCCACCUUCACUCAUGCUGCCAAACAUACCCGUGUAAAACUGACCGAUGUCAUUUACAAAAUAGCCUCCAACACUCUACUCAUCAAAUUGGAUGCAGUCUAUCACAGUGCCAUCCGUUUUGUCACCAAAACCCCAUAUACUACCCACCACUGCGACCUGUAUGCUCUCGUUGGCUGGUCUUCGCUACAUAUUCGUUGCCAAACCCACUGGCUCCAGGUCAUCUAUAAGUCUUUGCUCGGUAAAGCUCCGCCUUAUCUCACCAUAGCAGCACCCACCUGUAGCAUGCGCUCCACUGGUCAUCCCCAAAGCCAACACCAAUACAUGCAUACAUACAUACAUACAAACAUACAUACAUACAUACAUACAUACAUACCUACCCAUAUAUAUACAUAAACAUACAUGCAUAUACACACUUAAAAAAAUAGUGCCUUUAUUAUUUCCCAGCAAACCCUACUAUCCCUCCCCCGAUUGGAGUAAACUAAUAAACAAUAACACUUAGGUUUCUACCUUCAGAUAAUACAUAUUAUACACAAUCUGUUUUUACAAUAGUUAUAUUCUGUUUUGUUUUAAGUCCUUCCUCUAUUUUCCUUCUUUGUAGGGCCAUGCGUUUUUCAUUUGGAGUUGCUAAAUUGCUGUAAUGCAUUAUUAAUGCAUUUCCCGGUUUCAUAUUUUCCACCCGGGGUAGCCAGUGUUUGAGGGGCUUCCUGGAAAUUAACUCGCUGUAUAAGGGAAGUCAGAAAGUGUUGAAUAACUAGGCUUGAGUUCCAAAUGGUACCUUUGUCGUUUUGCACUAUAUCGGGACGCAGGCUGACACUUAGCAUACAGUUCCUACUGCACGUGCUGUCAAAACGAAGUGGUCGACUCUGCUUUUUAAUCAUGCUGGCCACAUCAACCACUCGCUGAAUGUCAUAAUCCGUCUUGGACUGGCUGCAAUCCUUUUAAAGGUUAUUAAAAUGCAACCAAAUAAAUGAGGCGUGUUAUGUAACGCUCCAUACCUCCAUGCCAAGCUUGUCUGGGAGCAAAGCACCAAUGCCAGUUUAGCGCUAAUGAUUAUCCUUUGGCGAAACUGUUUAUCAAACGUGUUUGGUUUUUUGUAAUAGUUGUUCAUUACAGAUUUAUAAACUAACGAUAAGCAAGUAAUUAAGUUUAUUAACAACUGAACUUGAACGUAAUGGCAAAAUGUAGAUUUCUGCCUAAAUAUAGAUAUACCCAAAAGUGAAUUUUUUUUGUUUUUGUGAUGGCCAUAAACAAUUUGCCUGACAACUAGGGUUACAAAGGGUCGGUAGAUUUCCGGAAAUUUUCCAUGGGAAGUUAAGCCCUGGAAUUUGGGGAAUUUUGCUUAAAUUCAUCAAAAAAGUUUACUUAUAACAGUGAACCAUUUUUUUUUGUGGGAUACACAUCAGGCAAUUCUAGGUCUUGUGGCAUUUUGGUUAAACUAUCCCCAAUUCAAUGGAAUUGCAACCCUCUGCAUGCACAGUGCAUUCUUCCAUCACAUGUACAGUGCUCUCUUCCAACACAUGUACAGCUGAUUCUCAAGAUAUUGCACACUAAUGAGAUGCUAUUGAGCCCACACUACUACACUGUCUGAGCCAAGGACUACAUGUUUUCUGGAAAAUGCCACGGGCACUAUCUGAUGUGUGGAGACAUUUCACUGCAGCUAAUGUAGAGGGAAAACGGUGUACAUUUGCAAAUGCUGUGCCAAAUCAUAUGUGAAGAAUGCAACAAAGAUGCAGAAUAAUCUGGCCAAGUACAUAAAGUUCCCUCAGCACUCACAACAAGCAACCUCUGACAAAAGUCCCUCUAUUUCUAUUCAAGGUGAAAAUGAUGAAUCAGACACCUUAUCGAUAGGAACAGCUCAUGGUCCUCAUGGAAUCAGAAGUUUUAUUUUGCUCAAUGGAGGAACAUAGUCAGAGAAAUGCUGAUGGAUGUCUUGCUUGAAUGGUAUAUGCAACUGGUUCACCUCUGAUGCUCACAGGCAAUGUGUAUUGGAAGAGAUUUCUGGAUGUUCUUCGCCCAGCAUACACCCCUCCAACCAGACAUGCUUUAUCUACUCAUUUUAUGGAUACAGAGUUCAAGUGAAGGUCAAGCAAAUCAUAGAGCAAGCAGACUGUAUUGCAAUCAUCUCAGAUGGGUGGUCGAAUGUUCGUGUGCAGGGAAUAAUUAACUACAUCUCCACCCCUCAACCAGUAUUCUACAAGAGCACGGACACAAGGGACAACAGAAACACCGGUCUCUACAUUGCAGAUGAGCUGAAUGCAGUCAAUGACCUUGGACCACAGAAGGUAUUUGCACUGGUGACAGACAAUGCUGCGAACACGAAGACUGCUUGGUCUAAAGUGGAGUCCUACCCACACAUCACACCCAUUGGCUGUGCUGCUCAUGCAUUGAAUCUGCUCUUCAAGGACAUCAUGGCACUGAAAAUAAUGGAUGCACUCUACAAGAGAGCCAAGGAAAUGGUUAGGUAUGUGAAGGGUCAUCAAGUUAUAGCAGCAAUCUACUUCACCAAGCAAAGUGAGAAGAAUAAGAGCACCACAUUGAAGCUGCCCAGCAACACCCAUUGGGGUGGUGUUGUCGUCAUGUCUCCUGGAGGGGAAGGAGUCUUUCCAAGAAAUGGCCAUAUCACAAUCUGCCGAUAUGGACACCAUCAAGAGGAUCCUCCUGGAUUAUGUAUUUUGGGAGAGGGUGGUAAGCAGCCUGAAACUCCUGAAACCUAUAGUAAAAGCCAUUGCACGGAUUGAGGAAGACAAUGCCAUCCUGUCUGAUGUUCAGACUCUGCUUACAGAUGUAAGAGAAGAAACACGUACUGCCCUGCCCACUUCACUGUUGCUCCAAGCAGAGGAAACUGCAGUUCUGAAAUACAUCAAAAAGUGUGAAGACUUCUGCCUGAAAUCCAUACACUCUGCAGCGUACAUGUUGGACCCUAAGCAUGCUGGCAAGAGCAUCCUGUCUGGUGCAGAGAUCAACAAGGCCUAUGGUGUCAUCACUACCAUGUCUCGCCACCUUGGCCUGGAUGAGGGCAAGGUUCUUGGCAGUUUGGAGAAGUACACUUCCAAGCAAGAGCUUUGGGAUGAAGAUGCAAUAUGGCAGUCGUGCCAACAUAUCUCAUCAGCCACCUGGUGGAAGGGAUUUUGUGGAUCUGAGGCUCUUUCCCCUGUUGCCUCCAUUAUCCUCCAAAUCCCACCAACAUCAGCUGCCUCAGCGCAACUGGUCCUUGUUUGGGAACACACACACACACCAAAGAACGCAACAGGCUGACCAAUACAAGGGUUGAACAAUUGGUGGCCAUGUGAGGCAUUUUGAGCCUGACAAUGAGCCACCCUCAAGGUUGGAAUGUGACUGUGAAGAUGAGGUCUCAGAGUCUGGAUGUUCAAGAGGUGAACUGUCAUUUUAUAGAUGCAUGUUGAAAAUGUUUUUGGGAGAUGUGAUGGAUCAUUGGGGAUCAUUCAAUAUUCCCUUUUUGUUCAGUGAAAUUAUCCCAUGUGAAGAGUCAACUCAUUUAAUUAAAGUUCAAUUCAUAACUAAA